rnacentral:rRNA from 1 species
UACGUAGGGUGCAAGCGUUAAUCGGAAUCACUGGGCGUAAAGCGUGCGCAGGCGGUUUUGUAAGUCUGACGUGAAAGCCCCGGGCUCAACCUGGGAAUUGCGUUGGAGACUGCAAGGCUUGAAUCUGGCAGAGGGGGGUAGAAUUCCACGUGUAGCAGUGAAAUGCGUAGAGAUGUGGAGGAACACCGAUGGCGAAGGCAGCCCCCUGGGUCAAGAUUGACGCUCAUGCACGAAAGCGUGGGGAGCAAACAGG